UACGGAGGGGGCUAGCGUUGUUCGGAAUUACUGGGCGUAAAGCGCACGUAGGCGGCUUUGUAAGUUAGAGGUGAAAGCCCGGGGCUCAACCCCGGAAUAGCCUUUAAGACUGCAUCGCUUGAAUCCAGGAGAGGUGAGUGGAAUUCCGAGUGUAGAGGUGAAAUUCGUAGAUAUUAGGAAGAACACCAGUGGCGAAGGCGGCUCACUGGCCCGGUACUGACGCUGAGGCGCGAAAGCGUGGGGAGCAAACAGG
rnacentral:rRNA from 1 species